rnacentral:rRNA from 1 species
AGUACAGACGAGUUUGAUCAUGGCUCAGAAUCAACGCUGGCGGCGUGCCUCAGACAUGCAAGUCGAACGAUUAAAGCUCUCUUCGGAGAGUGUAUAGAGUGGCGCACGGGUGAGUAACACGUAAGUAAUCUACCCUCGAGUGGGGAAUAACAACCGGAAACGGUUGCUAAUACCGCAUAAUGCAGCGGCACCGCAAGGUGACAGUUGUUAAAGAUUUAUCGCUUGAGGAGGAGCUUGCGGCAGAUUAGCUAGUUGGUAGGGUAACGGCUUUACCAAGGCUACGAUCUGUAACCGGUCUAAGAGGACGGUCGGUCACACUGACACUGAAUAACGGGUCAGACUCCUACGGGAGGCAGCAGUCGGGAAUUUUGGGCAAUGGGCGAAAGCCUGACCCAGCAACGCCGCGUGAAGGAUGAAGUAUUUCGGUAUGUAAACUUCGAAAGAAUAGGAAGAAUUAAUGACGGUACUAUUUAUAAGGUCCGGCUAACUACGUG